UCCCAGGUGGCUCAGUGGUAGAGAAUCUGCCUGCAAUGCAGAAGACCUGGGUUCGAUCCCUGGGCCAGGAA
rnacentral:tRNA from 1 species